AGAGUUUGAUCCUGGCUCAGGAUGAACGCUGGCGGUAUGCUUAAUACAUGCAAGUCGAACGAAAUUUUUUAAAAAUUUAGUGGCGGACGGGUGAGUAACACGUGAGUAUCUACCUUUGGGAAGGGGACAACAGUUAGAAAUGACUGCUAAUACCCUAUGUGCUGGUUACAGUAAACGGAUUUCCGCCCAAAGAAGAGCUCGCGCCUGAUUAGCUAGUUGGUAAGGUAAUAGCUUACCAAGGCGAUGAUCAGUAGUUGGUCUGAGAGGAUGAUCAGCCACACUGGAACUGAGACACGGUCCAGACUCCUACGGGAGGCAGCAGUAGGGAAUCUUCCGCAAUGGGCGCAAGCCUGACGGAGCAAUACCGCGUGAGGGAUGACAGCCUGCGGGUUGUAAACCUCUUUUUUCAAGGAAGAAGAUCUGACAUGUACUUGAAGAAUAAGCAUCGGCUAACUCCGUGCCAGCAGCCGCGGUAAGACGGAGGAUGCAAGUGUUAUCCGGAAUCACUGGGCGUAAAGCGUCUGUAGGUGGUCUAAUAAGUCAGUUGUUACAAAUUGAGGCUUAACCUUAAACAAGCAACAGAUACUGUUAAACUUGAGUAUAGUAGAGGUAAAAGGAAUUUCCAGUGGAGCGGUGAAAUGCGUAGAGAUUGGAAAGAACACCGAUGGCGAAGGCAUUUUACUGGGCUAUAACUGACACUCAGAGACGAAAGCUAGGGUAGCAAAUGGGAUUAGAUACCCCAGUAGUCCUAGCCGUAAACGAUGGAUACUAGAUGUUGCACGUAUCGACCCGUGCAGUGUCAAAGCUAACGCGUUAAGUAUCCCGCCUGGGGAGUAUGCUCGCAAGGGUGAAACUCAAAGGAAUUGACGGGGGCCCGCACAAGCGGUGGAGCAUGU
rnacentral:rRNA from 1 species